rnacentral:lncRNA from 1 species
CAUCGUUCAUCUGUGGGUGGAAAAUCAUCAUUGGAUCCCUCACCUAACAGUUAUUGGGCCCAAUCCCAUCUGAAAGAAUAAUAUCCUACAAGCUAAUCGCAUAUGGGAUGCGAUAGGGUGUUUUUGUAAUUUAUCUUCCAAACUCAUAUAAAAUAAUAUUUAUAUUAUUAAUAAAAUAGAUAUUUUUGAUUCAUCAUAUGCUGCAUCUUGUUAUUUUUAAGAUUAUAAUGAACCCCAU